GCAUACAGCCAUACCAUUCUGAAGGUGUCUUAUCUCCUCUGAUCUAGAGAGGUAAGCAGGGUCGGGCCUGGUAGUACUUGGAUGGGAGAACACCUGGGAAUACCAGGUGCUAAAGGCU
ensembl:rRNA 5S_rRNA 5S ribosomal RNA